UUAAAGAAAUUAAAUAUAAUAAAAUAAGAAUUUGAAUCUUAUUUAGGUAGCCUCUACCUCUUUAAA
rnacentral:tRNA from 1 species